UGCGUUGGCCAAACAAGAAAUAGAAGUAGAAUUUUUUUUUUGACAGACGAUGGAAUAUUUUUUUUCCUCUCUCUCUCUUUCUCUCGAUCGAAUUCCAGAAUUGUCAAAUGAAUGAGAAGAAAUCAAACGCCAUAGAAUCAGAGAAUCGACUCCGAGAUUGAUUAGUUUGAUAUUUGAGUUUGGAGUCGAUUCAUUCGGUUGAGGUAGAAGCAAUUGGAAUCGGAGGGUUGUUCAUGAUCAUAAGCUAGUGAAGUUGUGAUCGCUGGAGGAGGAGUAUCUGAGCUACGCUUUCUAAACCAGGUCUGAAAGAGGAAGCAAAGACGACCAAACCUUAGAAGACCUCUUCCUAUACAAUUAAACUUGGUCUAAUGUUGGUUUCACUUGCAGAUCAAAUUUAGAGGUUGUAGUCUUCAGUACCACCACCGGUUGUGGAAGGUGAACUCUUUUGCUGUUGCUGCUGCAAUUGAAACAAUUGAUGACUCAGAUGGUUUUAUCAAAGACGGUGAUCUUCAAGACAAGGUUCCUAUUCGAACAAAUACUAAUUAGGACAUGAUGUUUACCUUGUGGGAGGUUGUGUACGAGAUCAUAUUCUAAAGAGGACACCGAAAGACUUUGAUAUACUCACCUCUGCAGAACUUAAAGAGGUGGUUCAGACUUUCCCAAGAUGUGAAAUUGUUGGAAGAAGGUUUCCUAUACACGUUGGAGAUGAUUUAGUAGAGGUUUUUGCUUUAACUAGUCAUUUUAUUUCUUUCUUUCGAGUAUACUCUAUGCAUAGCAAAAGAAAAGCUUAUGUCUUUGUUAAUUUUUCUGAAUAUGCAAUAAUUUUAUAAACAUU